AUUGAACGCUGGCGGCAGGCCUAACACAUGCAAGUCGAGCGGAUGAAGGGAGCUUGCUCCUGGAUUCAGCGGCGGACGGGUGAGUAAUGCCUAGGAAUCUGCCUGGUAGUGGGGGAUAACGUCCGGAAACGGGCGCUAAUACCGCAUACGUCCUGAGGGAGAAAGUGGGGGAUCUUCGGACCUCACGCUAUCAGAUGAGCCUAGGUCGGAUUAGCUAGUUGGUGGGGUAAAGGCCUACCAAGGCGACGAUCCGUAGCUGGUCUGAGAGGAUGAUCAGUCACACUGGAACUGAGACACGGUCCAGACUCCUACGGGAGGCAGCAGUGGGGAAUAUUGGGCAAUGGGCGAAAGCCUGAUCCAGCCAUGCCGCGUGUGUGAAGAAGGUCUUCAGAUUGUAAAGCACUUUAAGUUGGGAGGAAGGGCAGUAAGUUAAUACCUUGCUGUUUUGACGUUACCAACAGAAUAAGCACCGGCUAACUUCGUG
rnacentral:rRNA from 1 species